rnacentral:rRNA from 1 species
UCGAGCGAACAGACGAGGAGCUUGCUCCUCUGACGUUAGCGGCGGACGGGUGAGUAACACGUGGAUAACCUACCUAUAAGACUGGGAUAACUUCGGGAAACCGGAGCUAAUACCGGAUAAUAUAUUGAACCGCAUGGUUCAAUAGUGAAAGACGGUUUUGCUGUCACUUAUAGAUGGAUCCGCGCCGCAUUAGCUAGUUGGUAAGGUAACGGCUUACCAAGGCAACGAUGCGUAGCCGACCUGAGAGGGUGAUCGGCCACACUGGAACUGAGACACGGUCCAGACUCCUACGGGAGGCAGCAGUAGGGAAUCUUCCGCAAUGGGCGAAAGCCUGACGGAGCAACGCCGCGUGAGUGAUGAAGGUCUUCGGAUCGUAAAACUCUGUUAUUAGGGAAGAACAAAUGUGUAAGUAACUAUGCACGUCUUGACGGUACCUAAUCAGAAAGCCACGGCUAACUACGUGCCAGCAGCCGCGGUAAUACGUAGGUGGCAAGCGUUAUCCGGAAUUAUUGGGCGUAAAGCGCGCGUAGGCGGUUUUUUAAGUCUGAUGUGAAAGCCCACGGCUCAACCGUGGAGGGUCAUUGGAAACUGGAAAACUUGAGUGCAGAAGAGGAAAGUGGAAUUCCAUGUGUAGCGGUGAAAUGCGCAGAGAUAUGGAGGAACACCAGUGGCGAAGGCGACUUUCUGGUCUGUAACUGACGCUGAUGUGCGAAAGCGUGGGGAUCAAACAGGAUUAGAUACCCUGGUAGUCCACGCCGUAAACGAUGAGUGCUAAGUGUUA